UCAGUAACGGCGAGUGAAGCGGCAACAGCUCAAAUUUGAAAUCUGGCGCCCCCGGCGCCCGAGUUGUAAUUUGUAGAGGAUGCUAUUGGGUUGCCACCGGUCUAAGUUCCUUGGAACAGGGCGUCACAGAGGGUGAGAAUCCCGUACGUGACCGGCCAGGCGCCCUCCGUAUAGCUCCUUCGACGAGUCGGGUUGUUUGGGAAUGCAGCCCUAAAUGGGAGGUAAAUUUCUUCUAAAGCUAAAUACCGGCCAGAGACCGAUAGCGCACAAGUAGAGUGAUCGAAAGAUGAAAAGCACUUUGGAAAGAGAGUUAAAAAGCACGUGAAAUUGUUGAAAGGGAAGCGCUUGCAAUCAGUCUCGACGGCGGCUGUUCGGCCUCUCUUCUGAGUGGUUUAUUCAGCCGCCGCCGGGCCAGCAUCAGUUUCGGCGGUCGGAUAAAGGCGUGGGGAAUGUAGCUCCCUCGGGAGUGUUAUAGCCCCGCGUGCAAUACGGCCCGCCGGGACUGAGGUCCGCGCCUCGGCUAGGAUGCUGGCGAAAUGGUUGUAAGCGGCCCGUCUUGAAACACGGACCAAGGAGUCUAACAUCUACGCGAGUGUUUGGGUGUCAAACCCGUGCGCGCAAUGAAAGUGAACGGAGGUGGGAACCGCAAGGUGCACCAUCGACCGAUCCUGAUGUCUUCGGAUGGAUUUGAGUAAGAGCGUAGCUGUUGGGACCCGAAAGAUGGUGAACUAUGCCUGAAUAGGGGUGAAGCCAGAGGAAACUCUGGUGGAGGCUCGCAGCGGUUCUGACGUGCAAAUCGAUCGUCAAAUUCGGGUAUAGGGGCGAAAGACUAAUCGAACCAUUAACCCAGAGUAUUCACUAGGUGGUUAAGAGGGGGCCGAGAGGCCACCCUAGUGGAGGGCCCGCCCUCCACGACAUUGCCAAAUUGCGGGGACCUCCUUAAGCCUCUCCUACCAACCGCCGCUCGGGAACGACGGCGGUGCCGGGGUAACGACCUAGGGUACGGUAACAACGGAGUGGGAUACGGACGAUCCGCAGCCAAGUCCCCCGGACGGGACGAGGUCCACAGGCCAAACGGCAACGGGUCCGGCGCGAGGGGGCGCCGGGCUUAAGAUAUGGUCGACACCCGCGAGAGAUCGCGGGGCGGGAGGGCGUCGCGAGCAGCGC
rnacentral:rRNA from 1 species